UACGAAGGGGGCAAGCGUUGUUCGGAAUUACUGGGCGUAAAGCGCGCGUAGGUGGUUCGUUAAGUUGGAUGUGAAAGCCCCGGGCUCAACCUGGGAACUGCAUUCAAAACUGACGAGCUAGAGUAUGGUAGAGGGUGGUGGAAUUUCCUGUGUAGCGGUGAAAUGCGUAGAUAUAGGAAGGAACACCAGUGGCGAAGGCGACCACCUGGACUGAUACUGACACUGAGGUGCGAAAGCGUGGGGAGCAAACAGG
rnacentral:rRNA from 1 species